CUGGGCCUGAUUGAGAUUAGAACCCAGAAAUAUCAGAACCCUCAAUUUGAACAGAAAUGUGAUCUUUUAUGUUUAGGAUAGUCAAGCGUCUACCAAAGUGCCUGUCCUAUCUCUGGAAGAAGUCUGCAUUUUGUGAUAAAAGUAGAAAACUCAAUCAACCUGUCAUCAGUUACGUAACUUAAAAGUUUCUCCAAAAGAAUCCUUUUCUACUUGGGAAGCACAAACAGCCAAAAGCAGCACUGGGGUUUUGACUGUCAAGGAGAUUAUUUGGACAUUAUGAAAAGGCAAAGAGAGAAACACUUCUGUAACUAUAACAAGACUAAAAAAGAAAAGCAAGAUGCAUUUUUAGAAGAAAUAAGUGGAUGACUCCUUGGACUGCAAGUGAGACUCAGCACAGGCUCAACAAGGAAAGAUGGUUGCUAAAUUACGAAUAAAAAGAGAGAGAUUUGUGGUUGCUUCAGAGAGAAAGUGGGAAGAACAGAAAGAAAAGGGGCAAAAGAAAAAAGCCCACAAGUCUGGGCCCUUCAUGGCGGACAGGCCAGUGAGCGGAAAUCGAGGUGGCAAACACACACGUCAGCGAGGGGAGCUAGAGGAUGAGGAAAACAACUGACAUUUAAAUAACGAACAUAAUAAGUAAUUUCAAUGUCCAGGUGAGUGAACCACAGAAUUACCUGUGUUUUGUCAAUCUGGUCAGAGCUAAGUUUCUAUAGUGAGUAACCACGAUAAUAAAUGCUCUCUCCUAUCCCUGAGCUGUCUAUUUAGAAAGAAUGCUUCA
rnacentral:lncRNA from 1 species